rnacentral:lncRNA from 1 species
AGUGUUUAAGGAACCAGUAUUUGAUAUAGCUAAAGAUCCUCUGUAUCUGGUUUUUUUUUUUAGAAUUCUUAUGAGAAAUUUACAUCCAGGCACUAUCAUAGAUCCCAAUUUUGAUUUUCUCAAAGUAAACCCCACCAAAGCCGCUUGAAAAACAUGCUAUGAGAACUGCCAUUUGUCCUACAAAUUGAGAGCCAGCUGAAAGUUCCUUAGAAUCAAGCUGAGAAUCCGAGGGCCACUGUACAA